GAUCCCGUAGCUCAGCCGGAUAGAGUGCAAGAUUCCUAAUCUUGAGGUCGCGGGUUCGAAUCCCGCCGGGAUCGCCA
rnacentral:tRNA from 2 species